GGGCCCGCACAAGCAGUGGAGUAUGUGGUUUAAUUCGAAGCAACGCGAAGAACCUUACCAAGGCUUGACAUAAUAGUGAAUAUGGCAGAGAUGUCAUAGUCCUUCGGGACACUAUUACAGGUGGUGCAUGGUUGUCGUCAGCUCGUGUCGUGAGAUGUUGGGUUAAGUCCCGCAACGAGCGCAACCCCUGUUGCUAGUUGAUAACAUUUAGUUGAUCACUCUAGCGAGACUGCCGGUGAUAAAUCGGAGGAAGGUGGGGACGACGUCAAAUCAUCAUGCCCCUUAUGUCUUGGGCUACACACGUACUACAAUGGCUAUUACAGAGGGAAGCUAAGCUGCAAAGUGGAGCAAAUCCCCAAAAAUAGUCCCAGUUCAGAUUGUGGGCUGCAACCCGCCCACAUGAAGUCGGAAUUGCUAGUAAUGGCAGGUCAGCAUACUGCCGUGAAUACGUUCCCGGGCCUU
rnacentral:rRNA from 1 species